CAGGAUAUCAGACCGGUUUCAUCAUAACAGCAGGGGAAGCGACCACCUUGUGUCCUGGUAUCAGGAGGUCGGACCGUUUACCCGGGUGUCAGGAUAUCAGACCAGUUUCAUCAUAACAGCAGGAGAGCCUAUAUAUAGCUAGGACGUGAAUUCUACAAGUGAGACGAGGCUGUCUUCGGAGCAAAACACGUGGUCGUAACUUGAACGCCAGACAGGGUAGACAUAUCUGACGUGUGUGACCAGUACGUGGCAGC